rnacentral:rRNA from 1 species
UGAGUAAUCUGCCCUCCACUUUGGGAUAGCCACCGGAAACGGUGAUUAAUACCGGAUAUGACCUUGGCCCGCAUGGGUUGUGGUGGAAAGUUUUUCGGCGGGGGAUGGGCUCGCGGCCUAUCAGCUUGAUGGUGGGGUAAUGGCCUACCAUGGCUUCGACGGGUAGCCGGCCUGAGAGGGUGACCGGCCACACUGGGACUGAGACACGGCCCAGACUCCUACGGGAG